rnacentral:rRNA from 1 species
GACGAACGCUGGCGGCGUGCUUAACACAUGCAAGUCGAACGGAAAGGCCCUGCUUUUGUGGGGUGCUCGAGUGGCGAACGGGUGAGUAACACGUGAGUAACCUGCCCUUGACUUUGGGAUAACUUCAGGAAACUGGGGCUAAUACCGGAUAGGAGCUCCUGCUGCAUGGUGGGGGUUGGAAAGUUUCGGCGGUUGGGGAUGGACGCGCGGCUUAUCAGCUUGUUGGUGGGGUAGUGGCUUACCAAGGCUUUGACGGGUAGCCGGCCUGAGAGGGUGACCGGCCACAUUGGGACUAAGAUACGGCGCAGACUCCUACGGGAGGCAGCAGUGGGGAGUAUUACACAAUGGGCGGGAGCCUGAUGCAGCAACGCCGCGUGCGGGAUGACGGCCUUCGGGUUGUGAACCGCUUUCGCCUGUGACGAAGCGUGAGUGACGGUAAUGGGUAAAGAAGCACCGGCUAACUACGUG